rnacentral:rRNA from 1 species
CCUACGGGGUGCAGCAGUGGGGAAUAUUGGACAAUGGGGGAAACCCUGAUCCAGCGACGCCGCGUGAGUGAAGAAGUAUUUCGGUACGUAAAGCUCUAUCAGCAGGAAAGAAAAUGACGGUACCUGACUCAGAAGCCCCGGCUAACUACGUGCCAGCAGCCGCGGUAAUACGUAGGGGGCAAGCGUUAUCCGGAUUUACUGGGUGUAAAGGGAGCGUAGACGGCAGCGCAAGUCUGGAGUGAAAUGCCGGGGCUCAACCCCGGAACUGCUCUGGAAACUGUGAAGCUGGAGUGCAGGAGAGGUAAGCGGAAUUCCUGGUGUAGCGGUGAAAUGCGUAGAUAUCAGGAGGAACACCGGCGGCGAAGGCGGCUUACUGGACUGUAACUGACGUUGAGGCUCGAAGGCGUGGGGAGCAAACAGGAUUAGAUACCCGUGUAGUC